rnacentral:rRNA from 1 species
AAUAGAUACCCGGGUAGUCCACGCCGUAAACGAUGGAUGCUAGCUGUUAUGCGUAUCGACCCGUGUAGUAGCGAAGCUAACGCGUUAAGCAUCCCGCCUGGGGAGUACGAACGCAAGUUUAAAACUCAAAGGAAUUGACGGGGACCCGCACAAGCGGUGGAGCGUGUUCUUUAAUUCGAGGCUAAGCGAAGAACCUUACCAGGGCUUGACAUCCUUGGAAUUUCUCCGAAAGGAGAGAGUACUUUAUUGGACCAAGUGACAGGUGCUGCAUGGCCGUCGUCAGCUCGUGUCGUGAGAUGUUUGGUUAAGUCCAUUAACGAGCGCAACCCUUAUGAAUAGUUGUAUUUUUCUAUUCAGACUGCCCCGGUAACGGGGAGGAAGGGGGGGAUGAUGUCAGGUCAGUAUUGCCCUUACGCCCUGGGCUAGAAACGCGCUACAAUGGCCGGUACAAUGCGCUGCCAACCCGCGAGGGGGAGCAAAUCGCAUCAAAGCCGGUCCCAGUUCGGAUAAGAGGCUGAAACUCGCCUCUUUGAAGCCGGAAUCGCUAGUAAUCGGUA